CCUACGGGAGGCAGCAGUGGGGAAUAUUGCACAAUGGGGGAAACCCUGAUGCAGCGACGCCGCGUGAGCGAUGAAGUAUUUCGGUAUGUAAAGCUCUAUCAGCAGGGAAGAAGAUGACGGUACCUGACUAAGAAGCCCCGGCUAACUACGUGCCAGCAGCCGCGGUAAUACGGAGGGGGCAAGCGUUAUCCGGAGUUACUGGGUGGAAAGGGAGCGUAGACGGCGAUGAAAGCCAGAUGGGAAAGCCAGGGGCUCAACCCCGGGACUGCAUUUGGAGCUGUGUGGCUGGAGUGUCGGAGAGGCAGGCGGAAUUCCUAGUGUAGCGGUGAAAUGCGUAGAUAUUAGGAGGAACACCAGUGGCGAAGGCGGCCUGCUGGACGAUGACUGACGUUGAGGCUCGAAAGCGUGGGGAGCAAACAGGAUUAGAUACCCCGGUAGUC
rnacentral:rRNA from 1 species